rnacentral:rRNA from 1 species
GCCUUUUGUAGAAUGAACCGGCGAGUUACGAUUGCAUGCGAGGUUAAGUCGAAGAGACGGAGCCGCAGCGAAAGCGAGUCUGAAUAGGGCGAAUGAGUAUGUAGUCGUAGACCCGAAACCAUGUGAUCUACCCAUGUCCAGGUUGAAGGUGCGGUAAAACGCACUGGAGGACCGAACCCACGUACGUUGAAAAGUGCGGGGAUGAGGUGUGGGUAGCGGAGAAAUUCCAAACGAACUUGGAGAUAGCUGGUUCUCUCCGAAAUAGCUUUAGGGCUAGCCUCGGAAUUGAGAAUGAUGGAGGUAGAGCACUGUUUGGACUAGGGGCCCAUCUCGGGUUACCGAAUUCAGAUAAACUCCGAAUGCCAUUCAUUUAUAUCCGGGAGUCAGACUGCGAGUGAUAAGAUCCGUAGUCGAAAGGGAAACAGCCCAGACCACCAGCUAA